UACGUAGGGUGCGAGCGUUGUCCGGAUUUAUUGGGCGUAAAGAGCUCGUAGGCGGCUUGUCGCGUCGGAUGUGAAAGCCCGGGCUUAACUCCGGGUCUGCAUUCGAUACGGGCAGGCUAGAGUGUGGUAGGGGAGAUCGGAAUUCCGUGGUGUAGCGGUGAAAUGCGCAGAUAUCAGGAGGAACGACCGGUGGCGAAGACGGAUCUCUGGGCCAUUACUGACGCUGAGGAGCGAAAGCGUGGGGAGCGAACAGG
rnacentral:rRNA from 1 species